UACGUAGGGACCGAGCGUUGUCCGGAAUCAUUGGGCGUAAAGAGCGUGUAGGCGGCCUUUUAAGUCCUGCGUGAAAUCCUGCGGCUCAACCGCAGACGGUCGUGGGAAACUGGAAGGCUAGGGUGCGGGAGAGGAGAGUGGAAUUCCCGGUGUAGCGGUGAAAUGCGCAGAUAUCGGGAAGAACACCCGUGGCGAAGGCGGCUCUCUGGAACGCAACUGACGCUGAGACGCGAAAGCGUGGGGAGCAAACAGG
rnacentral:rRNA from 1 species